rnacentral:rRNA from 1 species
ACAAGCGGUGGAUCAUGUUGUUUAAUUCGUAUGAUACGCGAAGAACCUUACCAGGUCUUGACACUCCCCCGCCGAUGCUUUAGAGAUAAAGACGGAGGUAGUUCGGGGAGACAGGUGGUGCAUGGUUGUCGUCAGCUCGUGUCGUGAGAUGUUGGGUUAAGUCCCGCAACGAGCGCAACCCCUAUUGCUAGUUACCAUCAUUAAGUUGGGGACUCUAGCGAGACUGCCAGUGAUAAACUGGAGGAAGGUGGGGAUGACGUCAAAUCAUCAUGCCCCUUAUGACCUGGGCUACACACGUGCUACAAUGGUCGGUACAAAGGGUUGCCAAGCCGCGAGGUGGAGCUAAUCCCAUAAAACCGAUCGUAGUCCGGAUCGCAGUCUGCAACUCGACUGCGUGAAGUCGGAAUCGCUAGUAAUCGUGAAUCAGAAUGUCACGGUGAAUACGUUCCCGGGCCUU